rnacentral:rRNA from 1 species
GAGUUUGAUCGUGGCUCAGAUUGAACGCUGGCGGCAUGCCUUACACAUGCAAGUCGAACGGCAGCAUGAUCUAGCUUGCUAGAUUGAUGGCGAGUGGCGAACGGGUGAGUAAUACAUCGGAACGUGCCCUGUAGUGGGGAUAACUAGUCGAAAGAUUAGCUAAUACCGCAUACGACCUGAGGGUGAAAGUGGGGGACCGCAAGGCCUCAUGCUAUAGGAGCGGCCGAUGUCUGAUUAGCUAGUUGGUGGGGUAAAGGCCCACCAAGGCGACGAUCAGUAGCUGGUCUGAGAGGACGAUCAGCCACACUGGGACUGAGACACGGCCCAGACUCCUACGGGAGGCAGCAGUGGGGAAUUUUGGACAAUGGGCGAAAGCCUGAUCCAGCAAUGCCGCGUGUGUGAAGAAGGCCUUCGGUUGUAAGUACACUUUAGUUCCGGUAAGAAAGUAGGACGUCUCGGUUAAGUAACC